rnacentral:rRNA from 1 species
GUUGUCUUUGUAAAUGGAAUGAUGGGAAUUUAAACCUCUUCCAGAGUAUCAAUUGGAGGGCAAGUCUGGUGCCAGCAGCCGCGGUAAUUCCAGCUCCAAUAGCGUAUAUUAAAAUUGUUGCAGUUAAAAAGCUCGUAGUUGAAUUUCUGCUGCAUCGCGUCUUCUUUUUGAUGAGUUGGCGUAUUGCGGCUUUUUUCGGAUGAUUUUUUUGUCCGGAUGAUUACUUUGAGAAAAUUAGAGUGCUCAAAGCAGGCUUUUGCCUUGAAUAGUUUAGCAUGGAAUAAUAAAGUAGGACUUUGGUUCUAUUUUGUUGGUUUUAGGUACCAAAGUAAUGGUUAAUAGGAACAGUUGGGGGCAUUCGUAUUUAACUGUCAGAGGUGAAAUUCUUAGAUUUGUUAAAGACGAACUACUGCGAAAGCAUUUGCCAAGGAUGUUUUCAUUAAUCAAGAACGAAAGUUAGGGGAUCGAAGACGAUCAGAUACCGUCGUAGUCCUAAAAAUAAACUAAUAAA